UCCAGCUACUGGAUCUUGUUAUACCUUUGUCUUUUAAACUGAAGAGCCCAUCAUCAAAGUUUUGUUCCUUACGUAGAUACUUGAUUAGAAACUUUAAUCAUAU